UACGAAGGGUGCAAGCGUUACUCGGAAUUACUGGGCGUAAAGCGUGCGUAGGUGGUUUGUUAAGUCUGUUGUGAAAGCCCCGGGCUCAACCUGGGAAUGGCAAUGGAUACUGGCAAGCUAGAGUGCGGUAGAGGGUAGUGGAAUUCCCGGUGUAGCGGUGAAAUGCGUUAGAGAUCGGGAGGAACACCAGUGGCGAAGGCGGCUACCUGGACCAGCACUGACACUGAGG
rnacentral:rRNA from 1 species